rnacentral:rRNA from 1 species
AGAGUUUGAUCCUGGCUCAGAGCGAACGCUGGCGGCAGGCUUAACACAUGCAAGUCGAGCGGCCGUAGCAAUACGGCAGCGGCAGACGGGAGAGUAACACGUGGGAACGUGCCUAUCAGUUCGGAACAACCCAGGGAAACUUGGGCUAAUACCGGAUACGCCCUUACGGGGAAAGAUUUAUCGCUGAUAGAGCGGCCCGCGUCUGAUUAGCUAGUUGGUGAGGUAACGGCUCACCAAGGCGACGAUCAGUAGCUGGUCUGAGAGGAUGAUCAGCCUCACUGGGACUGAGACACGGCCCAGACUCCUACGGGAGGCAGCAGUGGGGAAUAUUGGACAAUGGGCGCAAGCCUGAUCCAGCCAUGCCGCGUGGAUGAUGAAGGCCCUAGGGUUGUAAAGUCCUUUCGGCGGGGAAGAUAAUGACGGUACCCGCAGAAGAAGCCCCGGCUAACUUCGUGCCAGCAGCCGCGGUAAUACGAAGGGGGCUAGCGUUGCUCGGAAUCACUGGGCGUAAAGCGCACGUAGGCGGCUUCUUAAGUCAGGGGUGAAAUCCUGGAGCUCAACUCCAGAACUGCCUUUGAUACUGAGAAGCUUGAGUUCGGGAGAGGAUAGCGGAAUUCCCAGUGUAGAGGUGAAAUUCGUAGAUAUUGGGAAGAACACCGGUGGCGAAGGCGGCUAUCUGGACCGACAUUGACGCUGAGGCGCGAAAGCGUGGGGGAGCAAACAGGAUUAGAUACCCUGGUAGUC